AACGGAACAAGCACUAUUAUGAUAUCUUUGUAAACGACGACGGCAAAAUGAAUUUUCUGUUGGAUGACGAAAACAAAUUCAUUUUCAGUGACAAGAAUAAAGAAAUUCCUUAUUCAUCCUCAUCGAUCGGAUGCAAAAAAUCCCAUUUCCCUGGUCGUGAAUGCAGUUGAGCUUGAUGGUAGAAAGUUUACUAUCGUUGCUAGUUAAAACUUCACCAGUCGGUUGCCUUUGAACUUUACAUUGUUCCCAAACUGGUUCUACACCUCGUUCUGCUGAUUCGGUCGCGCUGAAUUAACUACACCACUUAUAGGACUCUCCACCACACCAACCAAAUGGAACCGCCGGCGCCGGUAUCCUUCAUGCUACAAUUUAGGCACUGGCGAAGGAGCUCUCACGACCAUUCUUUGCUUGCUCUUUGAAUUGCAUCCUGACGCCCUGCGUGGUUUUGUUGGUGGCAGAGUUCUUGAAGUUCCUGUUGAAGGAAAGUAUGUUGUUUCAUUCAUUUUUUUUUUUUUUGUUUCUUACAAGGCUUCCGGAGCUGUCGGGCCCGGAUUGAUACGUCCGUAAAGAAAUUGAAUAUCCGAGUUGAAUUUAUAACUCAUGGUCAGUUGACCAAGUGUCCUUUCUUAAGUGACGUAAACUGUACCCAUUGAGUUGGGCGAUUCUUGAGUAAGAAUGAGAAAACGCUGAUGUUUGCCUCUAUGAAAAUGAGGCAUGUAAGUUUUGAAAGCUC